CCUACGGGAGGCAGCAGUGAGGAAUAUUGGUCAAUGGGCGGAAGCCUGAACCAGCCAAGUAGCGUGAAGGACGACUGCCCUAUGGGUUGUAAACUUCUUUUAUGCGGGGAUAAAGUUCGCCACGUGUGGCGUUUUGCAGGUACCGCAUGAAUAAGGACCGGCUAAUUCCGUGCCAGCAGC
rnacentral:rRNA from 1 species